AUGGACUAUCCCCCUACUUCUACAUCCUUCUUCCCUUUCUUACAUGCCUUUGACAGAGCUGGGCUAAGGAAGUUUGGCAAAUAAGACAAGAAUGGAUGGACCCGCCAUUGACCCACAACAUCAAUACUACCUGUCUGAAUUAGUGGCAGAUACAGACCAGUCAGCACACGAAUUGUGAGGAGAGGUUUCCAUGCAUUAAGUGACACAAGCAAACAAAGAACUGUUUCUACUCUAACCUAUGACUGCAUUGACAUUUGGUGGCAACAUGUUCAGAAUCUUCUGCUACAUUUCAAUGGUUGACUUUUUUCCCUGCACAGAAAAAAAAUCUGCAACACAGACAACCCAAAUCUGAUCCCUGUACAAAUCUAUUUCUAAGGAGAUUGGCCUUACGAAUCCACUGUCAACACCAAUGUUACCCUUCACACGAGUGGUCGAACAAGAGCACACCAGGAGCAAGGAAAUAAAAAGCAAAUGUUUGGAAAUGAUGAAAGUAUGAAAUAAAGUUAAAUGGAAGAAAGAGGGGGACAUGGAAAACUGCACAAGGAGAGAAGGGGAAGGGCAAAGAAAGAGACGGUGAGACAUGGCAAGCAAUCAGAAUUACAAAUAAAUAACAAGUCACUGAAUGACUAGAGAUUGGCACACUAAAGCAUUAUAUUGUUCUCCCAUUAGUUUAGUAUCAAGUGCUACUUUUCAUAAUUUUUUACAGAUAUACUCACAAGUACUUAAGUGUUACAAAGGCCACAGCAUUAUAUGAGUGUAUUUUUCUGCAAAUACUUUGUUAAUUAAAUGCAAACUAUUAAACAUAAAACGCAUAAAAACAUUGUGGGAUUGCAUUCUAGAAAUGCUUAGAUAGCAGUGUACAUCUAGCAGGCACAGACAGGCGUCAAAGCUUUAAAGGUAACAUAUUUUUUUCAAAAUGUUAAUCGACCCCCAGGCACAAUACUAUAAUGAAUUCUGUUUUCCAAAAGAGCAAGUAAAUUUUUUUUGAAAUUUGACAUGAGGCAAGACCUUUUCUGACUUUCCCAAGUGUCCUCAGCUUUGUGCUCUAAUAAGCUUCAACCUCUAUUUACUGCUGCACUGCCAGUUGGAGUGAUGUCAAACCCCCCUUCCCCCCAACAUGCUGUCUAUUACAUAGAUCCCAUACCUGAUUUGUUGUUUCUAUAAUGGUGUCUAACAAGCAGAUUGUUAUUUAGUAAAUGAAAAUACUAUCAACAGACAUGUUCUAACAGUUUAUGUAAUUGCAGAUGCAUUAUUUAUAUCUAUUCUCAUACAGUGUUAUGUUAUCACUGCACACAUUGGACUGUUGUUAAAUUGCAGAGAAAGAACAUGAAAUUCAAUUUAGCAAAUUAAGUCAGCCUAGACCAUAGUGAAGGCGUCUGAGCGAAUGGAGAGCCAGGUAAUUACUGUAGUAGAUACCACGUAUAGAUCAUUAGUCGUCAUGGAUUAAUAGGAUGAUGUCUGGUGACCUCUGGUUUAAAAUGAGUAAUCAUGGACUCUUACAUAGACAAAUGGUUUAUUGCUGGAACAGUGACAU